rnacentral:rRNA from 1 species
AGAGUUUGAUCCUGGCUCAGGAUGAACUUUGGCGGCAUGCCUAACACAUGCAAGUCGAACGGGGUUUAUAUAACAGAACUCUCCGGAGGGAAGAUAUAUAAACCUAGUGGCGGACGGGUGAGUAACGCGUGGGCAACCUGCCCUGUACCGGGGGACAACAGCCAGAAAUGGCUGCUAAUACCGCAUAAGCCUGCGGUGCCGCAUGGCACAGCAGGGAAAACCACGGUGGUACAGGAUGGGCCCGCGUCUGAUUAGUUAGUUGGCAGGGUAACGGCCUACCAAGACGAUGAUCAGUAGCCGGCUUGAGAGAGUGGACGGCCACAUUGGGACUGAGACACGGCCCAGACUCCUGCGGGAGGCAGCAGUGGGGAAUAUUGCACAAUGGGGGGAACCCUGAUGCAGCAAUGCCGCGUGGGUGAAGAAGCACUCCGGUGCGUAAAGCCCUGUCAGCAGGGAAGAAAAUGACAGUACCUGACCAAGAAGCCCCGGCUAACUACGUGCCAGCAGCCGCGGUAAUACGUAGGGGGCAAGCGUUAUCCGGAUUUACUGGGUGUAAAGGGAGCGCAGGCGGUAUGGCAAGUCAGAUGUGAAAACCCAGGGCCCAACCCUGGGACUGCAUUUGAAACUGCCAUACUGGAGUGCCGGAGAGGUAAGUGGAAUUCCUAGUGUAGCGGUGAAAUGCGUAGAUAUUAGGAGGAACACCAGUGGCGAAGGCGGCUUACUGGACGGUAACUGACGCUGAGGCUCGAAAGCGUGGGGAGCAAACAGAAAUAGAUACCCUGGUAGUCCACGCUGUAAACG